rnacentral:lncRNA from 1 species
CCAUCCCCUGCUUACCUCCUCCGGAGCGAUACUCUGGGGAUCCUGGUACAUGCCGGGGUCCUUUCUCAAUGCUCCCUUAUUUUUGAGCUACAGCCAUCUUUGUUUCCUUCGGACUGAUCUAAGAUAGCAUAUAUUAUUACGCUAAUGUCGGGAAGGGCGCUCUCCUGGGCGACAGCAGUUUGGGAGCAACAAUCCGCCAUUUGUCGUCAUCUGGAGGACUUUAUGGCAGAGGUGAGGAAGGUUUUUGAUUCUCCGGUAUGCGGAGGAGAGGCGGCCCAUUAACUGCUGGAUUUACGUCAAAAUUAUUGUUGUGUGGCAGGCUACGCUGUUGACUUUCGCACGUUGGCCGCCGAGAGUGCCUGGAAUCCGGAGUCCCUUUUUGAUACCUUCCUUCACGGACUAUCUGAGGAGAUAAAGGAUGAGCUAGCCACUCGGGAAUUGCCGGUGGACCUCGAUUCCCUCAUUGCCCUCACCAUUAAAAUUGAUGGGCGGCUAAGGGAACGCAGGAGUGAGAGUUAUAGCCUGGGUCACAGUCGUUCAUCCGCAGUGGCUCGCUCACCUUCAAAGGAAUCCGGAAGUCCCCGAAGGCAAUUUUUCCGAGAGGAUCCGAAGCCACCGAGCUCCAUCGAGAAUCAUCAGCGACAGGCCCAUCCCUCCCCCCCGUGUCAUCGAUGGCCAGCCAGCGUAUAUGGUGAGACGCCUCCUGAGGGUUCAACCACGGGGCAGGGGUUUCCAGAAUCUGGUUGACUGGGAGGGUUAUGGCCCGGAGGAGAGGUGCUGGGUUCUGGCUAAAGACAUCCUGAACUCUGCCCUCAUCACCGAUUUUCACCGCUGACACCCCGGUCAGCCAGGUAGCCAGGUAUGCGCCCAGAACCUGAACUGUACUUUGGAACCACAUGGCGGAUGCACCACAGUUUGGCUGGCCACAGGCCGCUGUGUCCCCACUUAACAUGCAGCCUUGACCCUAACGACUUACCCAGAGCCGGCAGACAUAUUAUGAUGCCUGAGGCGGGGACGAGGGUUGGAAGCAGGCUCCAGCUCCCCGGGAUGGGUCUGGUGAUCGGCUAGACAGGAUAGAGUAUUUUAAAUAUAUAACCAUCACCCAUUCCUUAACCCUUGUGAAACUAUUUAAACGCUGUAAUAAAAUUGCCAUUUUGCUUUUUCUUAAACUGCCUCAUCUGGUGAUCUGUUGUGAACUGUGCAGGGAACAUUCUAGGCCUUAAGGUUGAGGUCCUUCCCCUCCUUAAACAGAAGGUGAUGUAGUCUUGACUAAAAAGUGGACGAUAGGGUUUGGUAACCACAUAAAGAUCACAGUACAACCCUGCCACCCAGUGGAUA